rnacentral:rRNA from 1 species
AGCGAACGCUGGCGGCAGGCUUAACACAUGCAAGUCGAGCGCCCGGAGCAAUCCGGGAGCGGCAGACGGGAGAGUAACACGUGGGAACGUACCCUUUGGUUCGGAAUAAUCCAGGGAAACUUGGACUAAUACCGGAUAAGCCCUUACGGGGAAAGAUUUAUCGCCAGAGGAUCGGCCCGCGUCUGAUUAGCUUGUUGGUGAGGUAACGGCUCACCAAGGCGACGAUCAGUAGCUGGUCUGAGAGGAUGAUCAGCCUCACUGGGACUGAGACACGGCCCAGACUCCGUACGGGAGGCAGCAGGUGGGGAAUAUUGGACAAUGGGCGCAAGCCUGAUCCAGCCAUGCCGCGUGGGUGAUGAAGG